UACGAGGGGGGCAAGCGUUGUUCGGAAUUACUGGGCGUAAAGGGCGCGUAGGCGGUCCUGAUCGUCGGAUGUGAAAGGCCUGGGCUCAACCUGGGAAUGGCAUCCGAUACGGCGGGACUGGAGUGUGGGAGAGGUUGGUGGAAUUCCCAGUGUAGAGGUGAAAUUCGUAGAUAUUGGGAAGAACACCGGUGGCGAAGGCGGCCAACUGGACCACAACUGACGCUGAGGCGCGAAAGCGUGGGGAGCAAACAGG
rnacentral:rRNA from 1 species